GACGUAGGGCGCGAGCGUUGUCCGGAUUUAUUGGGCGUAAAGAGCUCGUAGGCGGCUCGUUGCGUCGGCUGUGAAAACCCGCAGCUCAACUGUGGGCUUGCAGCUGAUACGGGCAGGCUGGAGUUCGGUAGGGGAGACUGGAAUUCCUGGUGUAGCGGUGAAAUGCGUAGAUAUACGGAGGAACACCAGCGGCGAAGGCGGGUAGCUGGGCCAACACUGACGCUGAUGCGCGAAAGCUAGGGUAGCAAACGGG
rnacentral:rRNA from 1 species